rnacentral:lncRNA from 1 species
AUUUAAUCACUUUUUAUGUCAAGAUAAAUUUGAACGAAAAUAUUGUUCAAAAUCUAGAAAUAUUCCAGCAUAAUAUACUGGAGUUCGAAUUUUUUACAUGUAAACUUCCAGCAAAAUAUAGUGGAGUUUCAGUCAAGCAUAAUAUGCUGGAAUUCAGACACAGGUGCACCAAUCUCCAAUAUAUUAUGCUAGAACUUUCCGUAUUGCAACAAAUAGUGACUAAUUUCAAUAAUUUUACAAACGCUGACUAUUUUUCAAUUACAAAUCAAAAACUAACUAGCCCGUGUUAUUUUUACGGUAUCUAGUUGUACUUUAAUCACUAACUGAAAAAUCAUUAAUUGUUACCGUAUCUUUUGAUGCAACUAAAAAAAGAGAUAAUGACAGCUGUAGUCUUGGAUCAAUGAAAUACUGUCACACUUUAUUUACUCUCACUCCAUGCUGAAUCGUUUCACUUUCUUUAUACUUUAAUAGUUAAAUAAUUUACAAGGAAUUCAGGCAUCGUAUAGGCAGGGGCGAAGCUAUGCUCUUUUAAGUACUGUUAGAUAGCUCGAAUACUCGUGUAUAAUGUAUUCAAGAAAAAUUAUUGAUUACAACCAAAAUGACUUAAUGAUUACAUUGUUUUNNN